rnacentral:tRNA from 1 species
GCCUGGCUGGUUCAGUUGGAAGAGCAUGUGACUCUUGAUCUCAGGGGUCAUGAGUUCAAAACUUAUGUUGGGUA